GUGAAAGCUGCAGGAUGCUCUUUUUACCUCCCAUCUAUGUGAUUUGGUCAGCCUUACAAAAGCCCUUCAUCACUUCUCAGCUUUGUGGAAAAUAUUCCCAUCUUCAGUGUCACCAGCCAACCUCCUGGCCUGAUCCCGGCUCUGGCUGAACCAAGAGAACUUGUGUUCAGAUGGCUAAGGAAGCAAGAUUCCAAGGUGGAGUGGAGGCAGUGUGGCUGCCCAUGAGGUAAAAGCACCCCAGAGUUCUUCCCAACUUCAGAGCUGUCUUAAAGCUGUGCUCAAAAUCUUCAUAAGCUGCAAGUGCAGACGAGGAAUACUAAUUUGCCAAAUAUGUUCGGAGACUUUAUUGCACAACAUGGCUCAAAUCCUGAUUUCCAUUGAUUGCCAGGAAGUGUAGAAAAGCUGUAUCUUUGGAGCAAUGGCAAAUUUUGCCAUCUGUAAAAGUGAAUGAUAUUUCUAUUUUAAUGAAUAAAUUUGAAGACA
rnacentral:lncRNA from 1 species